GGUUGAUCCUGCCAGUCACAUAUGCUUGUCUCAAAGAUUAAGCCAUGCAAGUCUAAGUAUAAAAAUAUUUUAUAUUUGAAACUGCAGAUAGCUCAUUAAAUCAGUUAUAGUUUAUUUGAUGGUACCUUACUACUUGGAUAACCGUAGUAAUUCUAGAGCUAAUACAUGCGUAAAGUCCCGACUCGUGAGGGAAGGGAUGUAUUUAUUAGAUAAAAAACCAAUGCGGACUCUGUCCGGUUAUUUGGUGAUUCAUAAUAACUGUUCGAAUCGCAUGACUUAACGUCGGCGAUAGU
rnacentral:rRNA from 1 species